rnacentral:lncRNA from 1 species
UUUUUUUUUUUUUUUUUUUUUUUUUUUUUUUUGCUGCACCUGCAGCAUAUGGAAGUUCCCAGGCCUAAGAGUUGAAUGCCAGCCUAAACCACAGCCACAGCCAAGUCAGAUCCAAGCUGUGUCUUGGAAACACCAGAUCCUUAGCCCUCUGAGCAAGGCCAUGGAUCGAACCCAAAUCCUCAGGGACACUAGUCAGUUACUGCUGAGCCACACGGGAACUCUAAAAAUAUCAAUUCUUUAUUUAGGUUUUCCAUUAAGCAGUGUUUUAGUAAUUAAGGUUUUUGUUUUGUUUUGCUUUGAUUUUUCAGGGCCACACUUGUGGCCUAUGGAGGUUGCCAGACUAGGGGUCAGAUCAGAGCUGUAGCUGCUGGCCUACGCCACAGCCACAGCAAUGCAGGAUCCAAGCUGCAUCUGCCACCUGCACCACAGCUCACUGUAAUGCUGGAUCCUUAACCCCCUGAGCAAGGCCAGGGAUCGAACCUGUGUCCUCAUGAAUGCUAGUCAGAUUCCUUAACCUCUGAGCCACAAUGGGAACUCCAGUAAUUAAGGUUUAUACAUUAAUUUGACAGGAACUAAAAGUGAUUGAAACUAAAAACAUAAACAGAAUUUCUUUAAAAUAUGGAAGUGUAUAUGAUAUUGUAUGUUAAUUAAAACAAAAUUUUUUAAAAUGAAGCAUGGAAAUAUGCCAUUUGAAAUAAAAUAUAAGGCCAAUUCAAGUGAAGCUAUUAUUAUCUAAUAAAAUGAUAACAUUUUGAUAUAUUCCUUUCUGUGAUGACUAAUUUUAUAUGUAAACUUGACUGGGCCACAUGGUGUCUAGAUAUUAGGGCGUUUUGGAUAAGAUUAACAUUUAAAUGUGGAAUGAGUAAAACAGAUUGCCUCCCUAAUGUGGGUGAACUUCAGUCAAUCAGUUAAAGGCCUGAAGGACAAAAAGGCUGAAUCUCCUCCUUCUGCCACCAGUGAGAAUUCUUCCCAUCUGACUACCUUUUAGUUGGGACAUCUGUAGUUUCCUGGCUUUGGGCUCUACUUUUCCUAGUUUGAGUGUGCUGGUCUUUGGAAUAGAACUGCAUCAUUAACUCUCCUUGGAUAUCCAGCUUGUCCACUUACCCUGCAUAUCUUGGGACUUGUCAGCCUUUACAAUCUCAUGAGCUAAUUCCUUUCAAUCUCUGCAUAUAUAUGUGUGCAUAUUUAGACGUAUAUGUGUAUUUAGACAUAUAUAUGUCUAAAUGAAUGUCAGUGAGAGUUUAGGCCUCACGUUUUAAAAGCAAUGAAAAUAUAUGUAGAGGGAUUUUAUUAUUGGCAUUGUUAUGUAGAAUUUAUCAUAUAAUUUAACCCUUUCUCAGAUAGAGGUCACUGAAAUGAAUUCAGCUUUUUGCUUUUAUAGUAAAUAGCCCUUGACUUCUGGGCUUCUUAGGAUCAUAGGUAUGCUUUUUAGUAGUGUUUGUCUUUGGCAGCUUAAUGUUCAGACUUGACAUUGUAUCCUCAAAUGGCAGAAGGGGCUAAGGAGCUCCCUGGGAUCUUUUUUUUAUAAUAGCAAAAUAUUAUAUGUUUGUAUGUAUGUAUGUUUACACAGGCACACACAUACUUCCUAUUGGCUUUGUUUCUCUGUAGAACCCAAAUACACUAUCUUUUUUUGUUCCCUAUGCAUAGUCUUAAAACAGACAUUUAUGUAAGUAACUUGAAGGUAAUCCUAUUCCAAGUAUACUAUAAGUAUACUUUAGCUUUUCAGAAACCUAUAUAUAAGAGAAAAAAGAGUUAUAUAAUAUUUACCUUUUUAAGGCACAGGAAAUGCAAGGUUUUCUGUAGGUGGGUUGGCAUGUAUGUAAAUAGCUUGUCAUAGAAUAUGGUUACCUAAAAGCUUAAUACCACUCACUUCUGAGUACUUUUUGGCUGUUCCUCAAAUCUGGCUGUGGUCUAAUGCACACCCAGUGGGAUUUCUAACCCUCUGGUGAUCUGACCCUCUGACUCUCAGUGUCGUGUGCUGUGGGCUUUAUUUUCUUGGGAGUUGAAUCACAUUGGUGAUGCCAUGUAUUUGUUCUUCUCAUACUUCCACUGUACACUGAUUUGGAAAACUAACUUUUCUUGUUUUACUAAUGGUCUGGCCUGUUAUUUUGGAGGUUAUUUUCCUCCCUUGAGAAGAUAGGAAAAAGAGACUCAGCUCUCCUUGCUUCUAGUUACUGGAUUUGGAUCUAUUCCUAAUAGGAUCUAGCCUUUGCUUAUUCUGUGUGGUAGCUUUCUGACAAUUUGUAAUCAUUCAGUAGGAAGAAACAUGGUAUUGUAUCUGUUUUUAUUAUUUUUUUCUUUUUUAAAUUAAAAUAUAGUUGUUUCAUGCCAUGCCAGUUUCUGUUGGCACAUGCACGCACACACACACAAAUUCUUUUUUAUAUUCUUUUCCAUCAUGCUCUAUCCCAGGAUAUUGGAUGUAGUUCCCUGUUGUCCUGUACAAUAGGAGCUUGUUGUUUAUCCAUUCUAAAUGAAAUUGUUUGUAUCUACUAACCCUAAACUUCCAAUCCAUCCCAGUCCUUACCCCCAUCCCUUUGGUAAUCACAAGUCUGUUCUCCAUGUCUGUGAAUCUGUUUCUGUAUUAUAGAUAGGUUCAUCUGUGCCCUAUUUUAGAUUCCACAUAUAAGUGGUAUCAUAUAGUGUUUGUCUUUCUUAUGCAGUAUGAGUCUCUAGUUGCAUCCAUGCACCUACAAAUGGCAUUAUUUCGUUCUUUUUUAUGGCUGAGUAGUAUUCCAUUGUGUAUAUGUACCACAUCUGCUUAAUCCAUUCAUCUGUCAAUGGACAUUUAGUUUGUUUCCAUGUCUUGGCUAUUAUGAAUAGUGCAUCAAUAAACAUAUGGGGUGCAUGUAUCUUUUUUAAUGAAAGUUUAGUCCUGGGAGUGGGAUUGCUGAAUCAUAUGGUAAUUCUAUUUUUAGCUUCCUGAGGAACCUCCAUAAUGUUUUCCCUACUGGUUAUAUCAAUUUACAUUCCCACCAACAGUGUAGGAGGAUUCUCUUUUCUCCACACCCUCUCCAGCAUUUGUAAACUUUUUAAUGAUGGCCAUUCUGACGGGUGUGAGGUGGUAUACCUCAUUGUAGUUUUGAUUUGCACUUCUCUGAUAAUUAUGUGGAGCAUUUUUUCAUGUGCCUACUGGCCAUCUGUAUGUCUUAUUUGGAGAAAUGUGUAUUUAGGUCUUUUGGCCAUUUUUUGAUUGAGUUUAUUUUUUUGUUGUUGAGUUAUAUGAGUUUUUGUAUAUUUUGAAGAUGAAGCCCUUGUCAGUUGCAUCAUUUGCAGAUAUUUUCUCCCAUUCCAUAGGUUGUCUUUUCAUUUUUUUAUGGUUUCUUUCAUUAUGCAAGAAGCUUUUAAGUUUGAUAGGUCUCAUUUGUUUAUUUCUCUUUUUAUCUCUACUGCCUUGGAAGACUGACUUAAGACAUUUAUACAGUUGAUGUCAGAGAAUGUUUUGCCUUUUUUCUCUUCUAGGAGUUUUAUGGUGUCUUAUGUUUGUCUUUAAGCCAGUUUGUGUUUAUUUUUGUGCAUGGUGUAGGGUGUGCUCUACUUUCAUUGAUUUACAUGUAGCUGUCCAGUUUUCCUAGCACCACUUGCUAAAGAGACUUUUUCCCAUUUUAUAUUCUUGCCUCCUUUGCUGAAGUUUAACUGAGCAUAAGUACGUGGGUUUAUUUCUGUUCCAUUGAUCUGUUUGUCCUUUGUACCAAUAUCACACUGUUUUGAUUACUGUAGCUUUCUGGUGUUAUUUGAAGUCUGAGCGAGUUAUGCCUCCUUUUUUUCCCCUCAAGAUUACUUUGCUGUAAAUCAACUGUAAUGGAAAAAAUAAAAACCAUUUU